GGUUAUAUAGUAUAGUGAUUAGUAUAUAUACCUGCUGUUCUACUUCACCUCAGGAUAGAAUCCUAGGGUAGAGCAAGGCUCGUACGAGGUUAUAGGUUCGAAUCCUAUUGUAGCCG